rnacentral:rRNA from 1 species
AUGCACGCUGGCGGCGUGCCUCAUCCCUGCAAGUCGCGCGCACGGACGAGAAGCUUGCUUUUCUGAUGUUAGCGGCGGACGGGUGAGUAACACGUGGAUAACCUACCUAUAAGACUGGGAUAACUUCGGGAAACCGGAGCUAAUACCGGAUAAUAUUUUGAACCGCCUGGUUCAAAAGUGAAAGACGGUCUUGCUGUCACUUAUAGAUGGAUCCGCGCUGCAUUAGCUAGUUGGUAAGGUAACGGCUUACCAAGGCAACGAUGCAUAGCCGACCUGAGAGGGUGAUCGGCCACACUGGAACUGAGACACGGUCCAGAGUCCUACGGGAGGCAGCAGUAGGGAAUCUUCCGCAAUGGGCGAAAGCCUGACGGAGCAACGCCGCGUGAGUGAUGAAGGUCUUCGGAUCGUAAAACUCUGUUAUUAGGGAAGAACAUAUGUGUAAGUAACUGUGCACAUCUUGACGGUACCUAAUCAGAAAGCCACGGCUAACUACGUG